rnacentral:tRNA from 1 species
CAUCAGAUGACUGAAAGCA